rnacentral:rRNA from 1 species
GAUAUAGGUUGCGAACGUUAUCCGGAAUUAUUGGGCGUAAAGGAUGCGUAGAUGGCUUGAUAAGUUAUCAGUGGCAAUCGGGGCUUAACCUCGUGGAAGCUGGUAAUACUGUCAUGCUCGAGUACAGGAGAGGUUAACGGAACUCUAUGUGGAGCGGUAAAAUGUGACGAUAUAUAGAAGAACACCAACAGGCGAAAGCAGUUAACUAUUCUGUUACUGACAUUGAGGCAUGAAAGCGUGGGGAGCAAAACGG